UUACUUCAUUCCUUGAACCACUGUUUAUGGAGCACUUCCAAUUACCAGACACAGGUGACAAAAAGAAAAAGGAACACUCAACAUUUAAUUUGACUCACAGUUCAUGGUCUUGAAUGCAUGGCUUCGGAUGGCAAGGCAAUGCGUUCCGUGCCUAAGCAAAGCACCUAGCUCUCAGGAACGGAGACCACUAGCUGAGUGCUCUGUGACUGUUGGGACUUGAGACCCUUCUUAUCUCCCCCAAGACUCAGUGGGAUGGGGCUGCUGUUCCGGAGCUGACUCCAACAUGCCAGCCUUUUGGAAAUUUGCCUGGAGGCUGAACUGAAGGUAGGUCCCUCUUCCCUCCCCCCAUCAUUUAUUUCUUUAACUUAAAAACACUUUUUUGGGGGAUCUCAUAUGUUACAAUCUAUUAAAUACUUCCUUCCUCUCUUCUUCCCUGGGUGGAGUAAAUGUAUGUGGGAAAGAGAAUUCUAGAGCAGGAGUAAGGAACCCUGGAUUUGCUAAGACGUCUGGAUCUACAGCAGGCCUGAGGAACCCUCGAUGUACCCAGGACUAAAGGUCCCUGGAUGUGCAUUUGAAUUAAGGAAACUUGUCUUUGCACGGUUCUCGUGGUUUACAUGGCCUCUUUUGAACACUCCAUUUCUUCUUGUGUAAAUGGCACAGCAUGCCCAUCCUGCCCAACUCACUGGGUUACUUGGCACAAGAGAACCAUAAAAGUGCUUCGAAAAAUAUGAGGCCUAAUGCAAUAGAGGAUGGGAUUGGGAGCCACAUGGCUGAAUGGGACUGGCAUGGGCUUGGGGCACGGGUGGGGUGACCUGGCCCUCUGGUUUCCCUGGGACAGUCAUCAUUCAUACUAGUGACCAUUCAGCUCUCAAAACUGAAAAGGAUGUGGCUAACUUACUUCUAAGCCCCAGUCCUUGGAAUCUUGGUCCAAUCUCUCUACAUCUUGGUUUCCUACUCUGAAAUACGCAGGUCACAUCCAUGCCUUUAAAGACAGAUUGUGAAAGUCAAAAGAAAUUCCAAUUGAGAGCUCUUUAUAAACUGGAAAUAAAAAUCACACAGUGGGUGUCAUUGUUAUCAUUAAGUCUAGGUGGUGUGAAACCAGGAAGCAGUAUUUUGUGUGCCCUCUGGAAUCUGGUUCUUUACCAAGGGCUGUCCCUUCCCUCUUUUGGACUCCUCCUUCCUCUGGCCCAAGAGACCACUUGCUUUCUUUCCCUGAGCCCCAGUUAGCUUUUCUGAAAAACAGAAGAAUUGGAGUCUGAAUUUCCAAGAUGCCUCCCAGUGGUAACAUUCUAUGGUUUCAUGAUUCUAAACAACGUUUGGCCUCCUGGUAUUGGUUGGUUGUUUUCUUAAGAACAAAGAAAGCCAGACAACCUAAACAUGAAAUACAACCCCAGCAAUGAAUUACAUGGGCUUUGAAAAAGGCAUUCAGCGAGAAUGAUUAUGUCUAAUAUUGGGCCUUCUGGCCUUGCCAGGGCCUGGGACCUGGCAUCAGAUGUCUGAACUUGAUAUACACCUGCAGGUACACUUACGGCUGUUAAUCUGCCAAGCUCUGUUGUUCAAGCUGUUUGAAAGCAUUCAAUAAAUUUCUUUUAGAAGCCGACAGGCCUGGGCUGAUCUGGAUUUUGCUUUACCUGAUCCGGGAAAAGACGGUGGCAAAAUUGUUGAGACAAAUGAAUCAGAAAUUGGCAGAAUAGAUGACACA
rnacentral:lncRNA from 1 species